GUUAGGGUAGAACAAGUAACUGGGGCUAAGUCGUAACAAGGUAGCCGUACCGGAAGGUGCGGCUGGAUCACCUCCUUUCUGGAGC
rnacentral:rRNA from 1 species